GAAUAACGGCCGCGAAGCCCUAGGCCCGGCCGCUAUAUAAGCGAGACGAUCGCCUCCCACUCUCCCCCUCCGCCGCCGCCGCCGGGUACCACCCCCUCUUCCAAGAUGUCGAAGCGAGGGCGCGGAGGAUCCGCUGGAAACAAGUUCCGGAUGUCGCUGGGUCUGCCGGUGGCAGCCACUGUCAACUGCGCUGACAACACUGGUGCCAAGAACCUGUACAUCAUCUCCGUCAAGGGAAUCAAGGGGCGCCUGAACAGGCUUCCUUCCGCCUGUGUUGGUGACAUGGUUAUGGCCACUGUCAAGAAGGGAAAGCCUGACCUGAGGAAGAAGGUCAUGCCGGCUGUCAUCGUCAGGCAGCGCAAGCCAUGGCGCCGAAAGGACGGUGUCUUCAUGUACUUUGAAGACAAUGCUGGAGUCAUUGUGAACCCAAAGGGAGAGAUGAAAGGUUCUGCCAUCACUGGACCGAUCGGGAAGGAGUGUGCCGACCUGUGGCCCAGGAUUGCCAGCGCAGCGAACGCCAUCGUCUGAUCUGAUCGCCGGAGCAGCUAGAUGAUCAAAGCUUUGAUAGCAUGUCCCUUUUUUCUUCUAGUUUAUUACUUGUGGCCCUUGAGGAUGAGUUUCCUGGAUUAUGUAAUGCUGCUGGAUUAUGGUCUGUUAGCUUUAAGAUUUUGCACUGUGGUUUGGCUACUGAGAUUUGGUGAGUCUGAACCUGAAAAAGCUUUUGAUCGGAUUUAUCUCUGUUGUGGCAAGUAUUCACCUGAAAUGUCUGGCUUGGAUGUUAAUUAGUCUGUUGCUCUUGUGAUGAACAGGUGUAUGUUUGCUAUUUUUUUCUAAGCAUUGCUGAGAGGUCAAACUGAGCUGCAAAUAUGCAGAUGCCAUGAACAAAAAAACCUACAGGAGAAUGUUUGCUAUUUUUUUCUAAGCAUUGCUGAGAGGUCAAACUGAGCUGCAAAUAUGCAGAUGCCAUGAACAAAAAAACCUACAGGAGAAUGUCUGGCUUGGAUGUUAAUUAGUCUGUUGCUCUUGUGAUGAACAGGU
rnacentral:rRNA from 1 species